AGAGUUUGAUCCUGGCUCAGGACGAACGCUGGCGGCGUGCCUAAUACAUGCAAGUCGAACGCUUUUUCUUUCACCGGAGCUUGCUCCACCGAAAGAAAAAGAGUGGCGAACGGGUGAGUAACACGUGGGUAACCUGCCCAUCAGAAGGGGAUAACACUUGGAAACAGGUGCUAAUACCGUAUAACACUAUUUUCCGCAUGGAAGAAAGUUGAAAGGCGCUUUUGCGUCACUGAUGGAUGGACCCGCGGUGCAUUAGCUAGUUGGUGAGGUAACGGCUCACCAAGGCCACGAUGCAUAGCCGACCUGAGAGGGUGAUCGGCCACACUGGGACUGAGACACGGCCCAGACUCCUACGGGAGGCAGCAGUAGGGAAUCUUCGGCAAUGGACGAAAGUCUGACCGAGCAACGCCGCGUGAGUGAAGAAGGUUUUCGGAUCGUAAAACUCUGUUGUUAGAGAAGAACAAGGAUGAGAGUAGAACGUUCAUCCCUUGACGGUAUCUAACCAGAAAGCCACGGCUAACUACGUGCCAGCAGCCGCGGUAAUACGUAGGUGGCAAGCGUUGUCCGGAUUUAUUGGGCGUAAAGCGAGCGCAGGCGGUUUCUUAAGUCUGAUGUGAAAGCCCCCGGCUCAACCGGAGAGGGUCAUUGGAAACUGGGAGACUUGAGUGCAGAAGAGGAGAGUGGAAUUCCAUGUGUAGCGGUGAAAUGCGUAGAUAUAUGGAGGAACACCAGUGGCGAAGGCGGCUCUCUGGUCUGUAACUGACGCUGAGGCUCGAAAGCGUGGGGAGCGAACAGGAUUAGAUACCCUGGUAGUCCACGCCGUAAACGAUGAGUGCUAAGUGUUGGAGGGUUUCCGCCCUCAGUGCUGCAGC
rnacentral:rRNA from 1 species